UACGGAGGGGGCAAGCGUUGUUCGGAAUUACUGGGCGUAAAGGGCUCGUAGGCGGCCAACUAAGUCCGACGUGAAAUCCCCAGGCUCAACUUGGGAACUGCGUCUGAUACUGGAUGGCUUGAAUUCGGGAGAGGGAUGCAGAAUUCCAGGUGUAGCGGUGAAAUGCGUAGAUAUCUGGAGGAAUACCGGUGGCGAAGGCGGCAUCCUGGACCGAUAUUGACACUGAGGAGCGAAAGCCAGGGGAGCAAACGGG
rnacentral:rRNA from 1 species